GAGCCUACAAAUCCAUGAAAAUCAGGUUAUAAAAGAGGGAGAACAGACAGAAAAAGGAAGAGAAGCAAAACACUCUGAGGUUUCCUUGGAACAAAACCCUGACCUAACCUGGGAAAAAGAUAGGGAGAGAAGAGAUAACAGAGUUCAGAGCAACCUCCAGACCCUGAAGGAAACUCAUUUGCACAGAAUCACCUUUACCUCAUAUCUACCCUAAGAUUGUUCUGCAAACUCACGGGUGCAACUCAAUUUCAAU
rnacentral:lncRNA from 1 species